rnacentral:rRNA from 1 species
GUUUUUAAUUGAAAUCUGGAAUGAAUGGUUAAAUGAGAUAUAAUCUUUUUUAAUUUAAUAUAUUGAAUUUUAUAUUUUAGUUAAAAAGCUAAAAUUUUGAAAAGGGACGAGAAGACCCUAUAGAAUUUUAUAAUUAAUAAUUUAUAAAAAAAUUAUUUAUAUUUAAUUUAUAAUAAUUAAUUAUUUUAUUGGGGAGAUAAUUAAAUUUAAUUAACUUUAAUUUUUAAGUUCAUUAAUUAAUGUAUUUAUGAUCUUUUAUUAUAGAUUAAAAAUUUAAAUUACCUUAGGGAUAACAGCAUAAUUUUUUUAAAAAGUUCUUAUUUUUAAAAAAGAUUAU